rnacentral:tRNA from 1 species
GCCUAGCUCGCUCAGUUGGUAGAGCAUGGGACUCUUGAUCUUAGGGUUGUGAGUGCGAGCCCACAUUAGGUG